AAGCCCGUACCGUACGGUUCGAGACGAAUACAUGUAAUAACGUAAUACCAACACUUAAAAUAGUUUUAUUGUUGCAACACCCAAAAUAUACCACUAUUGAUUUCACUGUAUUUAUUUUAUCCUCAUGUCUUUUUCAUACAAAAAAAGCAAUCAAGUUCAAGUUGCAGUUUAUUUAUAAAAUACAAAUCUUGCACAUAUGUAAAGAGUUACUAAGCUGUUAAAAAGUUUUUUUUAUUUGCUCAUAUCGUGUCUUGCCUUAGGGUAUCGAGGCAGGACUGCCACUGGUGGCCCCUCAAAGACAAUAGAUGCCCCUGUUUAAAACUGGCUCCAAGAAUUAAUGUUUUGUGCAGUUGACUGUAAUUUCUGAGAAAGUCACUGAACACAUGUAUGUGCACAGGGUUUGUUCCUCUCGUUUUCGCUCUGCCUGACACACACGCACACAAUCUCGGCACAGACUCUGUUCGUGUAAACCUUCUCCCCUUCCCCCCACGUCUCUCUCCCUUUCUGUCCCCCUCGUCCUCCCCUCCCUCUCACUCUCACUUACAGCCUGCGAGCACUAUUUCAAGCCUCCAUCAGAAGGAGUGAAGGAGAGCGAGUCACAGAGGUCGGGGGGAGGGGCCGGCAGACAGGAUUUGGAGUUCAAGUGCAUGUGGAGAAAAUGACCUGGAAGACAGUGAGACAGAGAGCGGAAAGCACAGACGGGAAUAUCCUCUUCUUUUCCAUGCACAGAUAUCUGCCUUGGAAUCAAGAAGCGACUGCAGUGCUUCUCUUCUCAUCCUCGCAGCCUGGCAGCUUCAUCCGUGUUCCUCCCUCCUGGACGGAGAAACACGCGCAGCUUUUCUAAUGGUCCCCCCACCCCUCUGCGUGCCUCCCUAAAAAACCAGGCCCCUUCAACAGCUCCUUUUCCUACUUGUCUCGGUGCCUGGUCACCGUCCGCUCUCCUUUGCACUUCACUUACAUUCAUUUUUUUUUCAUUUAUGUUUUUUGUUGAAUAAUUUUCCAGCCCUAUCCCACAAAAAUCUCGCAUUCAUAGUGUGAAAGCAGUUCAGAGUGCUAAAUGAACAGUAGGAAAUGGGCUGAUGGGAUGGGUAGUAGGAAAAACGUGGUUUGGGAGGAAACGCUAAGAGGAGAGAAGUGACUGCCGCUGGGAUAGCGGAGAGGAGGAAGGACCCGGAGCAACGAGAGAAAGAGCCAAACGUGGGAUCAACAAAACCGCGGGAAAAGGAGGAGGAACGACCAGACUGAUCACAGUUCUUAAUCUACUGGAAGAAAUGCCAGUUACAUAAGAAAGAAUGCUGUGGAACUGCAGUUUGGAAUAUCAUCAUCGUUAUUCAUUCUCCAAGACUGUAAUGACAGAAAGAAGCAUGCACGAAUGAAUAUCAUCCAUGAGCGUUUGGAACCACUUGUGGACACAUAAACACACACCAAGACGUUCAGCUCCACAUUAUGAGAAACAUAGGAAUCGUACUCAGGAGAGACUGGAUCGAGACUGACACGAGAACAAAGAAACGGAAAAACCUGCACAAAUAAAAGCCCCCCCAUAUUUUCUGCUGCCAAGUGUUUGUGGAACUUGGUGUCCAUAAAAAUCAAAGAUGGCAGCCUCACGUACUUCCGGGAAUCCUACGCCAGCUGAGCAUUUGCCCUUGAGAUGAAUCGGAAUCAACAUAUAGCUUUCUCAAGGUCGCAGCCUCCGGACAUCCAGAGACGUCGCUCGAUUUGGAGAAGAAAGCGUCAUUGAUGCGUUUAAUGUUUCUUUUGGCAAAUCUGACAAAGGUACGUAGGACGGUAAAGAAGUGUCCUCAUCCAAAAUCAGUUAUUAUAUAACACCAUUCAAAAGUUUGGGUCGGUAAGAUUUAAUCAUGUUUGUCUCUUAUACUCACCAAGGCUGCGUUUAUUUGAUCAAAAAUACAGUAAUAUUGGGAAAAUUAUUACAAUUUUAAAGAACUCUUUUCUAUUUUACUAGAUUUUAAAAUGUAAUUUUUUUU